rnacentral:lncRNA from 1 species
AUAUACAGAACAUAUAUACACAGAUAUAUGAUUAGAAAAACAAUGAUGAUGAUGAUGAUGAUGAUGAUAUAUUUUUACACUGAUAAUAAUGAUAAUGAUGACAAUAAUAAUAAUAAUAAUACAACAUUUUAUUUUGCCACAACAACUGCCUAUCAUCAUGACAAUACAGGAGGAACAUAUCAAGAUCAAUACAUUUACAAAAGAAAAUACUGUGUACAAUAGACAUUGACAAGAAGCAAGAGACGGAUGGUAAUGAUAAUAAUGAUGAUGAUCUCGCAAACAGUACAGUCUUAAAAUCCUAAUUCAAUGUUGACAUAACAUUAACAAUGAGUAUAAAGGUUAGAUGGGGGGAUGUGGUGAUUUAGGAAAUCAUUACACUAUAUAUAGAGAGUUUUGUGUGUAUAUCUGAGAGUUGGGGAUAAAAAUAGGGAAUUCUUGAUUGCUUUACUGUGAGCAAUUCAAAGUCUUAAAUUCCAUGUUAAUUUGAUAUUUAUAUUCUAUAUACAUAUGUAGUUGUAUACAAACUCACAAAAAAUUACAUGUACUUAUACACAACAUAUGCAUAUCUAUCCUAUACAUAUAUAUAUAUGAUGCAUAAUGCAUAUCUAUCUUAUACAUAUAUAUAUGAUACAUAUUUAUAAAUUAUACACUUGUUCACACAUACACAUGUGGAUAUAUACAAAUAUGUUUUCUUACAAUUAAAACUUAAAUGACCGACACAUUUAAAAACAUGUUAAAAAUUAAAUACACAAACAUACAAAUAGGAGAGUGUCUUAACAUUACUGAAAACUGAUUGUGGUUACUUCUUAAAUAUAUGUAUGUGUAUACAUACAUAACAUAUAUGUACAUGUGUGCGUAUGUAUGUAUUUAUGCAUAUAUGUGUGUGUGUGCAUAUUUAUAUUUAUAUAUAUAUACACACACAUACAUGUAUGUAUUUAUGUAUGUCAAUUGUUCCAUGUUUAUGUUUAAAAAAAAACAACAGAAAACUGGAAACUACAGCAGCAUUUUUUAUUGGUUAUGACAAAUGUAUUAAGACAAUAAAAAUCCCUACAAAAUCAGUCUUGUUUCCUUGACAACACAAGUCAUUGAAGCAUGCUCACUGAUAGUGUAAAGUGAAAGAAAAAAAGAUAAAUACUAUUAGAGUAAUUAUUUUAACAGAUACACUUCAAUAUUUAUGCUUAUAUACACACACACAAACACACGCACACACACACACACACACAAACACACGCACACACACACACACACACACACACACACAUAUAUAUAUGAAUAAAUGAAAGAAUGGAGUUGAACGAAGAUGUUAACAAAAUUCCUUUACUCUCGACAUAUGUUUCGAAGACAGAGUAAAGGAAUUUUGUUAACAUCUUCGUUCGACUCCAUUCUUUCAUUUAUUCAUAUACAACACACAAAUUUCUACACAUGAACCCGGAGUUUCUACCCUUGACAGGUCGCUUCAACCGUGUUUCUGAUGUGAAUUUGUUACCCAGGUUUCGGUUAAACGAAUUUUCUAUGCUGACAAUAAACAUAGGAUAAUUUAUUUACCUACUUAAAUAUAUAUAUAUAUAUAUAUAUAUAUAUAUAUAUAUUGAUGCAUAUAUAUGCGUAUGUGUGUGUGUUUAUAAAUAUAUAUAUAUAUGUACAGACAUAUAUAUAUACAUGCACACACACAUAUAUAAAAAUAUAAGCAUUAAUACAUAUAUACACAAAUAUACUCAUACAUUUAAGGUAAAACCAUCUGUUUUUGAAAAUACAUUGCAACUUUGAAUAUUACGCUUAAUUAAGCAAUUGAGCAAUAAAAAGAAAAAAACAACUGAUUCCAAUUUUGGAAUAUUGAAAAUGAUAUACAAGACUUCCUGUCAGUUGCCAAAAUUGACUGGUGGCUUACUAGAUUGUUCUCAAUUGUCUGAAAUUGUCAGUUCAGGUGUAUUUAUCUGAUGAUUGUUGAAAUGUUUAGUUAAACAUGAAACUCAGAGUCACAGUAUAUUUUCUCUAACAAACUAUAUUAUCUUGUAUGUCUACAUACAUACAAGCAUAUAUAUAUAUAUAUAUAUAUAUAUAUAUAUAUAUAGUUAUAUUUCGGAAUGGUCAUUUUGCCAGUUUAGCCAAUAUAUAAACGUAUAUAUAUAUAUAUAUAUAUAUAUAUAUAUAUAUAUAUAUUUCACUCUGCUUAUGUAGUCUGUUUUUGUUGAUGUGAUCAAAUUUUGUACAUAUGCAUACACACAAACAUACAUACAUGUGUGUGUGUAUGUUUGUGUGUGUGUGUUUGUGUGUGUGUGUGUGUGCGCAUGUGUGAGAAAUGUACAGAAAUCUUUUCUCAAAAGAAAAAUGUCCAGUAAAAGAAGUGACCACAGUCAAUUAAGUAUUUUUUUUUUCACGUUAUUUUCAUAUUUACUUAGUGUUUUACUAUUAUUUUUUUAAAAACAAAAAAAAAAAAACAGAUUAAUUAUGGAAACAAUUGACAGUUCCUC